UACGAAGGGGCUAGCGUUGCUCGGAAUCACUGGGCGUAAAGCGCACGUAGGCGGAUUGUUAAGUCAGGGGUGAAAUCCUGGAGCUCAACUCCAGAACUGCCUUUGAUACUGGCGAUCUUGAGUCCGGGAGAGGUGAGUGGAACUGCGAGUGUAGAGGUGAAAUUCGUAGAUAUUCGCAAGAACACCAGUGGCGAAGGCGGCUCACUGGCCCGGUACUGACGCUGAGGUGCGAAAGCGUGGGGAGCAAACGGG
rnacentral:rRNA from 1 species